GCUCCGGUUCCCUAGUGGUUAGAGCGUCUGCCUCGGAUGUGGGAGGUCACGGGUUCAAUCCCCAGUUGAGACU